rnacentral:rRNA from 1 species
AUUGAACGCUGGCGGCAUGCCUUACACAUGCAAGUCGAACGGUAACAGGUUAAGCUGACGAGUGGCGAACGGGUGAGUAAUGUAUCGGAACGUGCCCAGUCGUGGGGGAUAACUGCUCGAAAGAGCAGCUAAUACCGCAUACGACCUGAGGGUGAAAGCGGGGGAUCGCAAGACCUCGCGCGAUUGGAGCGGCCGAUAUCAGAUUAGGUAGUUGGUGAGGUAAGGGCUCACCAAGCCGACGAUCUGUAGCUGGUCUGAGAGGACGACCAGCCACACUGGGACUGAGACACGGCCCAGACUCCUACGGGAGGCAGCAGUGGGGAAUUUUGGACAAAGGGCGCAAGCCUGAUCCAGCCAUGCCGCGUGCGGGAAGAAGGCCUUCGGGUUGUAAACCGCUUUUGUCAGGGAAGAAAAGGUUCUGGCUAAUACCUGGGACUCAUGACGGUACCUGAAGAAUAAGCACCGGCUAACUACGUG